GACGAACGCUGGCGGCGUGCCUAAUACAUGCAAGUAGAACGCUGAGGGAGGAGCUUGCUUCUCUGGAUGAGUUGCGAACGGGUGAGUAACGCGUAGGUAACCUGCCUGGUAGCGGGGGAUAACUAUUGGAAACGAUAGCUAAUACCGCAUAACAGUAGAUAUCGCAUGAUAUCGACUGGAAAGGUGCAAUUGCAUGAGUACCAGAUGGACCUGCGUCGUAUUAGCUAGUUGGUGCGGUAACGGCUCACCAAGGCGACGAUGCAUAGCCGACCUGCGAGGGGGGUCAGCCACACUGAGACUGAGACACGGCACAGACUCCUACGGGUGGCAGCAGUAGGGAAUCUUCGGCCAGAGGCGGAAGUCUGACCGCGCAACGCCGCGUGCGUGAAGAAGGUUGUCGGGUCGUAAAGCUCUGUUGUAAGGGAAGAACGCGUGUGAGAGUGGAACGUUCACACUGUGACGGUAUCUUACCAGAAAGCGACGGCUAACUACGUG
rnacentral:rRNA from 1 species